GGGGGGUUACCGAAGCGGUCAAACGGGACAGACUGUAAAUCUGUUGGCUAUGCCUUCGCAGGUUCGAAUCCUGCACCCCCCA
rnacentral:tRNA from 1 species